rnacentral:rRNA from 1 species
UUCUUUACAUUAUUUGUUAUUUUAAUAGGUUAAAAGAUAAGCAAUAUUAGUAGAACAGAAGUGGAGUAAAGUGAUCCUUAGGUUUUACUUUUUGUAUAACGGUUAAACUAGAAUAAAAUUUAUAAAAAUAUUCCCGAAACAAAAAGAUCUAAUUUAUAAAAUUAUUUUAGUAUGUAAAUUUAAUGUAACAAUAUUAAUGAAAGAUUAUAAUUUAGGGGCGAAAAGCUUUUCAAUUUUUGUGAUAUCUGGAUGAGGGGUAAAAGUAUUUAGUGCUUAAGUACAGACGUAUGGUGUUGAGAUCCUAUGUUGUGAGAAUUUUUUAUAAUAAUUAAAAUUACAUUUUAGAGUUAACACUCUUAAAUUAACAAAGAUAAUAAAAUCAAAUAAAGGUAAGAAUCUCUUUAUUAACCCUUCUAUCUUAAGGAAUUUUCUUUUUGGUUAAUAAUGUUUAAAUUAGUAAUAGAAACACAAGGUUUAUAAAUUUUAAACUUAUUUUAAGGAAUUCGGCAAAUAUAAGCCUCACCUGUUUAACAAAAACAUAGUCUAAGGAGCAAUAAUAAUCUUAGAUAAAACCUGCCCAGUGUUGUGAGUUAUUUAAUCAACGGCCGCAGUACUUUGACUGUGCUAAGGUAGCGUAAUCAGUUGGCUUUUAAUUGAAGUCGUGUAUGAAUGGAUUUUUGGGGCUUAACUGUCUUGAUAAAGUUUAUUUGAAUUCAGUUAAAGGGUGAAAAUACCCUUAAGUAAUAGAUAAAGGACGAUAAGACCCUCGGAGUUUUUACUAGUUGGUUAUUCUAGAGAAUUAACCUAAGGUUUUUGCUGGGGCGGCAAUAGAGGAAUUUUAAAUCCCUCUUUAAGGAUUAGCCGAUAGUUUUAAGUAAAUUUAAACUACCCAAGGGAUAACAGCAUAAUUUUAUAUAAAGUUUGUGACCUCGAUGUUGGACUAGGAAUUUACUAGAUUAGCCGUUUAGAUAUAUUGUUCUGUUCGAACUAACUUUCCUACAUGAUCUGAGUUCAGACCGGCGUAAGCCAGGUCAGAUUCUAUCCUUAUAUUUUGCAUCUUUAGUACGAAAGGACCAAGAUGUUGUAUUUUUUAUA